UCACCGUCCGUGUCGAGGGGGGUGAUGCUAAGCAUGUGAGCUUGUCUUGGGAGUGUUUUUGAUGCUUCUGGGGUGGGUGAGUGUGUGAACCGAUCAUGUAGUAGGCAAGCUGCGGAGGGACGCAGUGAGGUAGCUCAUCCCCGGUGAUGGUUGUCCGGGGCUAAGUGUGUGGACUGUCUGGUAGGUAAAUCCGCUGGGCGUGAAGGUUGAGGCAUGAUGGGGAGCCCACGGUUGUGGGUGAGUGAGUGAUCCUGUACUGUCGAGAAAAGCUUCGUGAGCGAGGUGGCGGGUCCGCCCGUACCCUAAACCGACACUGGUGGAUAGGUAGAGUAUACCGAGGCGAUCGAGUGAAUCGUGGUGAAGGAACUCGGCAAAAUGCCCCCGUAACUUUGGGAUAAGGGGGACCUGAGCUGUCGUGCACCCGUGCGGUGUGGUGGCGGUGAGGGGCGCAGAGUCCAGGGGGAAACGACUGUUUACCAAAAACACAGGUCCGUGCGAAGUCGUAAGACGAUGUAUACGGACUGACUCCUGCCCGGUGCUGGAAGGUUAAGGGGAACUGUGAGUGUAUGCGUAGCGGUGAACUUAAGCCCCAGUAAACGGCGGUGGUAACUAUAACCAUCCUAAGGUAGCGAAAUUCCUUGUCGGGUAAGUUCCGACCUGCACGAAUGGAGUAACGAUUUCCCUACUGUCUCCACCAUGAACUCGGUGAAAUUGCAUUACGAGUAAAGAUGCUCGUUACGCGCAGCAGGACGGAAAGACCCCGGGACCUUUACUAUAGUUUGGUAUUGGUGAUUGGGACGGUUUGUGUAGGAUAGGUGGGAGACGUUGAUGCGGCCACGCUAGUGGUGGUGGAGUCGUUGGUGAAAUACCACUCUGAUUGUUCUGGUUAUCUCACUGUGGACCGUGAUCCGGUUCAAGGACAGUGCCUGAUGGGUAGUUUGACUGAGGCGGUCGCCUCCUAAAGGGUAACGGAGGCGCCCAAAGGUUCCCUCAGCCUGGUUGGUAAUCAGGUGGUGAGUGUAAGUGCACAAGGGGGCUUGACUGUGAGACUGACAGGUCGAGCAGGGACGAAAGUCGGGACUAGUGAUCUGACGGUGGCUUGUGGAUGCGCCGUCACUCAACGGAUAAAAGGUACCCCGGGGAUAACAGGCUGAUCUUGCCCGAGCGCUCAUAGCGACGGCAUGGUUUGGCACCUCGAUGUCGGCUCGUCGCAUCCUGGGGCUGGAGUCGGUCCCAAGGGUUGGGCUGUUCGCCCAUUAAAGCGGCACGCGAGCUGGGUUCAGAACGUCGUGAGACAGUUCGGUCCCUAUCCGCUGCGCGCGGAGGAAUCUUGAGAAGGGCUGUCUUUAGUACGAGAGGACCGAGACGGACUGACCUCUGGUGUGCCAGUUGUUCUGCCAAGAGCAUGGCUGGUUGGCUACGUCGGGUUGUGAUAACCGCUGAAAGCAUCUAAGCGGGAAGCACGCUUCAAGAUAAGGGUUCCCACAGGAGUGUUCCUGGUAAGGUCCCCGAGAGAUGAUCGGGUUGAUAGGCCAGACGUGGACGCAUCGUAAGGUGUGGAGCUGACUGGUACUAAUAGACCGAGGACUUUCAUUAACA
rnacentral:rRNA from 1 species